rnacentral:lncRNA from 1 species
CGUGGAUCUGUCCUCACCCUGUAGGAGCCCAGACCCUGAGGGAGCCCUUGCUUGGGACCCUGUGUGUGGGAGGAGGAGGCUGGUUUCCGGUUGGCAGGUUGGCAGAACUGAGAGACCAUGCGAGUUUUCCCUUUGGCCUGAUGAAAGUAUUUCAGGGUGACAGGGAGGUGGUGUUUGCUCACCACUGUGAAUGAACUAAACGCCCCUGGACUGCGCGCGUGGAAAGGUUUAAGUCACAGUGUGGAUUGGCCUCGCACACGCACACAUAAGCACGAGACCAGAACGUCUUGUUUUCCAGGAAGCAAGUUUAUGGUGGUGGGAAAUGAGGUGGAAUCAAAGUGAACCAGAGCCGGCCUGCACUGGUCCGACGGGGACGAAUCUGUGUUCGCGAUACAGUGGAAAAUCAUUAGAUAAGUGACAGGAAAGCGCUGUUAUGCCCGAGCUGUAGGGAUGCGUCCCCGUGGGAUGGCGCUAAAUGCACACGAAGAACCGCGGAGCCCGCGCACCCUGUGAUUCCAUCUGCAAAACGAGAGAAACGGCAACCGAUCCGCUGUGGGGGGCGAUGGCUCAGGAUCAAGGGGCGCGGGAUCGAGUAAUGAGGGGAUGGGCCCGUUUCGGGGUGAUGGGCUCAUUCCGCAUAACGAUCGGUGGCGGUGUGGCCCCUCCAGGGAGUUGAUGGGAAAAGGGAUUCGCCGGUGCGUGAAAGGGGCUUCACGACGUGACGGCGUGGCCACAGAGGGUCAGCAGCUGGCCCCAAGCAGAGAUGAGAAGAGAGGUGGCCUGGUUCCUAAACAGAGUGCAGGACGGGAAAGAGUGCAGCGGUGUGGGGGUGGAAGCCGCGUCCCGCAGGAAGAGCCCCCCCCACGCCCCGUUUCCUCUGGAAACCCGAGGUCCCUGCAGCCCGGGGUCCGCCUCUUCCAGCCCACGCGUGGACGCUCCGUCCUCUGGUGCCACCGUGUGGGAGCAAGACGGAACAUCAGGGGCGAGGACGGGCUGGGUCCCAGCUCCUCCGGAAGACUUACGGCUCUCACUGUGGGACUUCUGCGCCUCUUGGGAGUUUGAGUACUUGAAGAGGGGCGGAACCCCAGAAAGCCUGCGCUCUCUGAUAAGAUGGGAAAACAUGAGGGAGCGGAAGAGGCUCAAAGUGGCCUCUGGUCAGCCUAAGAUGCCAGCAUUUGGAGUCCAUUCCACCCUCCGUGGUGAAAUAAGAACGGAUGGUGCAUCUCUUCUUUAACUGCUGCCUCCUGAUUGGGGCAGUGGUUGGGGUUUUAUCCGGAUUGAAGAAGAUCAUUAGCAACUACCUAUGAAAUGGCCACAAUCCUGUUGGUGAAAAAUCUUUGAAACAUAUUGAUGGAGCAUGGUAACAACAAACAAGCAAGUAAAAGGAGGAAAAGAGGCAAAGAAAGAAAGAAUCCAAGGUAGGAUAGUGGACUCCAUGAAUCCCAUGAACUCUGGGGGGAGGGGCAUAGGGGAGUCCAG